GCGCGGCGGCCCGGGCAGUGCGCCUGUGCGACCGGCGCAUCCCGAUGGAGCGCGGCCACGGCUGCGGAGCGGGAGCCGGGACGGAGGGGGCUACGCGGGCCUCCCCGCUCCCCGGGAAGAUGGCCGAACCGGGCGCGGUGCGGACCUCGCCUCCCAACCACCGGCUUUCAGGCAUGGAUGGAUUUUUAAAAUCAGAUGAGAGACAAAGACUAGCUAAAGAAAGACGAGAAGAAAGAGAAAAACGUCUUGCUGCCCGGGAGCAGCAGAUCCUGGAGAAACAGAAAAGAGCCAAGCUCCAGUAUGAAAAGCAAAUCGAGGAGCGCUGGCGGAAGCUGGAAGAGCAGCGGCAGCGGGAGGAUCAGAAGAGGGCCGCUGUGGAAGAGAAGCGCAAGCAGAAGCUACGGGAAGAGGAGGAACGACUGGAGGCGAUGAUGCGCCGGUCCUUGGAGCGCUCACAGCAGCUGGAGCUGAAGAAGAAGUGCUCGUGGGGAGUAUCAGUGACCCCUGGGCCUGGGGGACGCGACGGUGAAUCAGAAAAUACCCCACCCCCUCCUCUAGGUUUAGCAGCCAACACCCUCCCUCCGGACCCAGGGACCACUGGCGCCGCUGCCGAGUCCACCAACGCAUGUGACAAACUUUCAACAUCAACCAUGAAUUUGCCAAAGCAGACGGAGCCUCCCAUGAGUAAGCGUCUGUCUUCAUCCACCGUGGCAAUAUCCUAUUCCCCAGACCGAGCUCAUCGCACGCACCUUAGUCCCAUGGAAACCUUUCUUGUUAAGCGACUGUUGACACCCACACAGGCUUCUCUAGCCAGAAGCGGAAAUGCAUUCAUGCUCUCUGAGCAGGCCAGUGACUCAGCUCCUGCUGGCCCUCUUAAAUCUUCCUACAAGUCUUCUCCCACUCGGAACACUGAGAGGAAGAAGACUACGCCUACAUCUGGCACAGGAGAUGCUGGGAAAGGAGCCCCUGUAGGAGCAGAGGCCUCUCCGACAGAGAAGUUGAAGCGGGGGCCGCGAACAACAACUUCCACUCCCAGUGUGGGCCAUGGGUCGCCUCUGAGAAGAUGCGAGCUUCCAGGAGGCAUUUCUAAGAGGUCGUCUUCUCCUGUGACAUCCAAGACACCUUCAAAAGCAUAUCCACAGUCUCCAAAGAAUGUGAAGCCACCAUACCCAGGGUCUCCCGUGAAGUACCGCUUUCCCACCGUUCCCAGCCAGGAAACACCCAAGAGGAAGGCAGAGAAAGAGAAGAGCAACAAGGAAAGGGAAGGUGCCCUGGCUCAGCAGGCGGCUGGCUCACAUGGAGGGGAAGUCCCAGAGAAGCAUGUGGCGGACAAGCAUGUCACUGAGAAGCACGCAGCCACCGGAGGAAAGGCCGAGAGCAGUGGAGGGAAGCCUGCAGCAGGCACCACUGAUGCAGAAGAGGCCGCGAAGAUCCUGGCUGAAAAGAGACGACAGGCCCGGCUGCAGAAGGAGCAGGAGGAGCAGGAACGGCUGCAGAAGGAAGCACAAAAUAGGCUGGAGAGAGAGGAAUUGAAAAGGAAGGCAGAGGAGGAAAGACUUCGCCUAGAAGAGGAAGCCCGUAAACGGGAAGAGGAAAAGAAAUGGCAGGAAGAGGAAGAGAAGAGAAAGGUGGAAGAGCAGUUGAAGCAGAAGGCCAAGAAGGAGCUGUUGUUGAAAGAAGAGCAAGAAAAAGAAAAACAAGAAAAAGAAAAGCAAGAAAAAGCCAUGAUUGAAAAGCAGAAGGAAGCAGUGGAAGCAAAGGCCCAUGAGGCAGCUAAACAGAUGCGUCUAGAAAGAGAACAGAUCAUGCUGCAGAUUGAGCAGGAGCGACUGGAGAGGAAGAAGAGAAUAGAUGAGAUCAUGAAGAGAACAAGGAAGAGUGAUGUGUCUGCAGAAGUGAAGAAAGAAGACCCAAAAGUGGAGCUUCAGCCUGCUGUGUGUGUGGAAAAUCAGACAAAACCAGCCGUCCCAAACAAAAUAGAUAUCAGUGGAUUGAACACCUGCCAGGAAGUUAAUGGUGUGGGGCGUGCUGCCCCAGAAACCUUUCCCGGAGAUGUUUUCUCUAAUGGGCUUAAAACAGUUGGGAGACUUGUUCAUCUGGAUACCCUUGAUGGAAAAUCAAACAGUCUGGAUGAUUCAACUGAAGAAGUUCAGUCUAUGGAUGUGAGUCCUGUGUCAAAAGAAGAGCUUAUCUCCAUCCCAGAAUUUUCACCAGUGAAUGAAAUGAUUCCUGGGGUGUCUCUGGACCAAAAUGGAACUGGUAAUGCCCGAGCACUUCAAGAUCUCUUAGAUUUCACUGGCCCCCCUAUGUUUCCCAAGAGAUCCAGUGAAACUCUCAGCCUGGACGACUGUAACAAAAACCUGAUUGAAGGAUUUAACAGUCCUGGCCAAGAAAGUACUCUGAACACCUUCUGUUGACAAAUACAUCUCUUUAAUGAAAGCGAACAUCUGUUCUUGGAUCAUACCUGAGGGAUUGAGGUGGGGAAGAACUGAAUUUUGUGCCCUGAAGCUUUUGUUCUCCAACUUUGGCCUUUUUUCUUGCCAAAGUACUUCUAGAAGCUCUUCUCAUUUGAGUGGUGUUUGGAGAACCCGUGAAGCUGCUGGCAGUCAAAUCCGAGCUGCCAGCCCUCUGAAGAAGCUUCUGUCAUCCUUUACCACCAGAUUCCAAAUUAUUAGAACAAAAAGUAACUGUAUUCCUAGUUAGUAUGUCAAACAAUGGCCACUCUUGGUAGAAACCUUGAGACAUUGGUCUUGUCUGGCUUUAGUAAAGUUUCACGUUCUGGUUCUAUUUAUGAGCUUCAGCUGCUGGCCAAGCGCUUCCUCUACUCCUCUAUCAUCAUAGUGGUCCUCCUAACAACCCAAGUGAUUCCAGCUUGGAAAUACACCUUAUAACUAUUCUUAUUCCCAAAGUUGGAACACAUAAACAUUUAGACGUCUUUCCUGUAAAUAGUCUAGACAUUUACCCAGAUUCUACUUAAACAUAUACUGGACUUGGGCUGCAUGUCUCCCUGUCUGUUCAGAAGGAAGAGAAAUUGCAGAGGGUUUCCCUCCCCCCUUCUGGGGUUUCUUGGUUGGAAGUUACUUUCAGGAAUCCAUCUUUUAUUAAUAAGCUUAGCCACUAGCAAAAUACGUUGCCCCACAUUACUCCUUUGGGGCUAACAGUAAGUCUGUGUAAGGAAGCCAUUGAACAGUGUGGAAUGGUUUCUGCUCUCUUAAUGCACAUUCUUAUAGACAUGGCCUCCUGAAUCUAGCAAGGGCCUUUCCAUGUUGCACCUUGAAAUCUCUAAGCUGUGGGCACUCCGGUGGCUUUUGGACUAAAUGAAUGGUGUGUCUCACACACAGGUGGUUGGUUUUCAUGUUGUUGCUGUUGUUUUUCUCUUGGAUCUUGAGGCUUUUGUUUGUUUGCUACAGUGUUUGCUCAACUCUAAUAAAACCAGGCACAGAUGAAAAUUAUAGUGCUCUGAAACAAGGGGGCCCUGAACUGGACCCAGUAUGUCACUUUAAUAGACUUUAGCCUAAAAACAUCUGACUGGGGGACAAAUGACGCUAGAAUGUAUACUCCACAUUUUAUGCCAUAUAAUGUGUUAAUGUCAUUUCUUGUGAUGAAAUGUGACUUUCAGAUUAAAAUGAUCUUUUCUUAUUUGAAAAGUUUUUUGACAUGUACAAUAAAGAGUUUAGAAAGAUCCAUAAUUCUGACUGAGGUUUGCAACUAGGAAAUAUAAAGAAGUUUCAAUAGCAGUCUUGUUCAUGUGCUUUCAAAACCAGCUACAGUUUAAGACUUUAUUAGCUAUGGAAACUGUAUGUUUGUGUAUGUGUAUAUACUAAAUAAAAUACAUGUAUCCAAUAGCACAGUGCCAUCAAGCUUGAUGAAUACUGGGGGGAAAUCCCUUUUAUGACAAGCACACAAAAUGAUAGCAUGGUCUGACUUUCAAACAAUGCCUCACCAUCUUCCUACAGCUUUAUUUUGCUGAAUGCCUGCUUUGUUGUGACCUGUUGGAUCUCACAGAACAUUGUGAUCGUGGUGAGGCCUCAUUUGCAUGAUGUGUACAUUGUGUUCAAUGUGAAAUACAUUUUCAGU